ACGCACGCUGGCGGCAGGCCUAACACCUGCCAGUCGAGCUGACCCUUCGGGGUUAGCGGCGGACGGGUGAGUAACGCGUGGGAAUAUGCCCUUCUCUACGGAAUAGUCCUGGGAAACUGGGGGUAAUACCGUAUACGCCCUUUGGGGGAAAGAUUUAUCGGGGAAGGAUUAGCCCGCGUUGGAUUAGGUAGUUGGUGGGGUAAUGGCCUACCAAGCCGACGAUCCAUAGCUGGUUUGAGAGGAUGAUCAGCCACACUGGGACUGAGACACGGCCCAGACUCCUACGGGAGGCAGCAGUGGGGAAUCUUAGACAAUGGGGGCAACCCUGAUCUAGCCAUGCCGCGUGAGUGAUGAAGGCCUUAGGGUUGUAAAGCUCUUUCAGCUGGGAAGAUAAUGACGGUACCAGCAGAAGAAGCCCCGGCUAACUCCGUG
rnacentral:rRNA from 1 species